CUUCGUUUUUUUUUUUUGUAUAAUUUAUUGAUUUUACACGUCCUGCGCGGGUUACUUGUGUCAUUUGGAAGGAAGGAACCGCUGGCUAUAAUCGAACUGCUCGACUACGGGUGCACGAGGCAACACGGAGGAAGCGGUAAAAGAAACGAAAGCCACGAAGAGCCCGCUGAGCAGCUUUGGAAAAGACGAAAGACUGCAUUGGUAUGUUGCGGAAGCCACGAAAAUUACGAAGAGUCUCAAGUCGUCCAAUGGGGUGGCAACAGCAGAGGACUAAAAGACUGUGUGUGUAGCAAGUUCGACAACACCGUUAUUCAGCUGAAGAACAGUUUGUCCUCGAUGGUGUCAAGAGAUCUCAAAUAAAUGUUCUAUGGUGAUA